AUUUGUUGCGCAUGGAAUCUAUCUGUUCAACUACAACAGUAGAGAAUAACCAAUAAUUGACGCCAUCUUCUUUGAUAAAUGCAGAAGCAUCUUUGAAAGAUAUAGAUUUUGAUAUUCAACCUCUUAGAAUAUUGCACUCAAAUAAG
rnacentral:lncRNA from 1 species